rnacentral:rRNA from 1 species
GGCUUAAUGAUGAUAAUUUUAGGUCGAUCUGCCCAAUGAGAUAGUUAAAUGGCUGCAGUAUAACUGACUGUACAAAGGUAGCAUAAUCAAUUGUUUUUUAAUUGGAAACUGGAAUGAAAGAAUUAAUGAGAUAUAUACUGUCUCAUAUAUAUUUAAUAAAAUUAAAUUUUUAGUAAAAAUGCUAAAAUUAAUUUAUGGGACGAUAAGACCCUAUAGAAUUUUAUAUUAAUAUUUAGAUUUAAUUUAAUUUUAGGUAUUAAUAUUUAAUUGGGAGGAUUGGUAAAUUUAAUAAACUUUAUUUUAAAAUUUAACUUUGAUUAAAGGAAUUAUAAAUGAUCU